UUAACAAGGUUUCCGUAGGUGAACCUGCGGAAGGAUCAUUACCGAGUGCGGGCCCCUCGGGGCCCAACCUCCCACCCGUGUUGCCCGAACCUAUGUUGCCUCGGCGGGCCCCGCGCCCGCCGACGGCCCCCCUGAACGCUGUCUGAAGUUGCAGUCUGAGACCUAUAACGAAAUUAGUUAAAACUUUCAACAACGGAUCUCUUGGUUCCGGCAUCGAUGAAGAACGCAGCGAAAUGCGAUAACUAAUGUGAAUUGCAGAAUUCAGUGAAUCAUCGAGUCUUUGAACGCACAUUGCGCCCUCUGGUAUUCCGGAGGGCAUGCCUGUCCGAGCGUCAUUGCUGCCCUCAAGCCCGGCUUGUGUGUUGGGCCCCGUCCCCCCCGCCGGGGGGACGGGCCCGAAAGGCAGCGGCGGCACCGCGUCCGGUCCUCGAGCGUAUGGGGCUUCGUCACCCGCUCUAGUAGGCCCGGCCGGCGCCAGCCGACCCCCAACCUUUAAUUAUCUCAGGUUGACCUCGGAUCAGGUAGGGAUACCCGCUGAACUUAAGCAUAUCAAUAAGCGGAGGA
rnacentral:rRNA from 1 species